rnacentral:rRNA from 1 species
UGGGGAAUAUUGCACAAUGGGGGGAAACCCUGAUGCAGCAACGCCGCGUGAGUGAAGAAGUAUUUCGGUAUGUAAAGCUCUAUCAGCAGGAAAGAAAAUGACGGUACCUGACUAAGAAGCCCCGGCUAACUACGUGCCAGCAGCCGCGGUAAUACGUAGGGGGCAAGCGUUAUCCGGAUUUACUGGGUGUAAAGGGAGCGUAGACGGUUUUGCAAGUCUGAAGUGAAAGCCCGGGGCUUAACCCCGGGACUGCUUUGGAAACUGUAGGACUAGAGUGCAGGAGAGGUAAGUGGAAUUCCUAGUGUAGCGGUGAAAUGCGUAGAU